rnacentral:SRP_RNA from 1 species
GCCGGGCAUGGUGGCUCACGCCUGUAAUCCCAACACUUUGGGAGGCUGAGGCAGGUGGAUCACCUGAGGUCAGGAGUUUGAGACCAGCCUGACUUACAUGGUGAAAUCCUGCCUCUA